GACGAACGCUGGCGGCGUGCCUAACACAUGCAAGUCGAACGGAAAGGCCCUGCUUUUGUGGGGUGCUCGAGUGGCGAACGGGUGAGUAACACGGGAGUAACCUGCCCUUGACGUUGGGAUAACUUCAGGAAACUUGGGCUAAUACCGGAUAGGAUCUCCUGCUGCUUGGUGGGGGUUGGAAAGUUUCGGCGUUUGGGGAUGGACUCGCGGCUUAUCAGCUUGUUGGUGGGGUAGUGGCUUACCAAGGUGUUGACGGGUAGCCGGCCUGCGAGGGUGACCGGCCACAUUGGGACUGAGUUACGGCCCAGACUCCUACGGGAGGCAAGAGUGGGGAAUAUUGCACAAUGGGCGGAAGCCUGAUGCAGCCACGCCGCGUGCGGGAUGACGGCCUUCGGGUUGUAAACCGCUUUCGCCUGUGACGAAGCGUGAGUGACGGUAAUGGGUAAAGAAGCACCGGCUAACUACGUG
rnacentral:rRNA from 1 species